CCUACGGGGGGCAGCAGUGGGGAAUAUUGGACAAUGGGGGCAACCCUGAUCCAGCCAUGCCGCGUGUGUGAAGAAGGCCCUCGGGUUGUAAAGCACUUUCAGUGAGGAAGAACGCCUGGUGGUUAAUACCCAUCAGGAAAGACAUCACUCACAGAAGAAGCACCGGCUAACUCCGUGCCAGCAGCCGCGGUAAUACGGAGGGUGCGAGCGUUAAUCGGAAUUACUGGGCGUAAAGCGCGCGUAGGUGGCUUGAUAAGCCGGUUGUGAAAGCCCCGGGCUCAACCUGGGAACGGCAUCCGGAACGGUCAAACUAGAGUGCAGGAGAGGAAUGUAGAAUUCCCGGUGUAGCGGUGAAAUGCGUAGAGAUCGGGAGGAAUACCAGUGGCGAAGGCGGCCUUCUGGACUGACACUGACACUGAGGUGCGAAAGCGUGGGUAGCAAACAGGAUUAGAUACCCUUGUAGUC
rnacentral:rRNA from 1 species